ensembl:lncRNA
GUAAAUCUAGAAGGUCUUGUGACAGAAAGCAUUUUUAUCUUUUUUUUUUUUUUUUUGGCUAAACCUCCUGUCCAGCCUUCUCACCCACUGCUCCAUUAAGCACCUUGGAACACUGGCCCAUAGAGGUCAUGAUCAUUCCACCUUCAUUGCUUGACUCAUAAUAGCUCUCCCAUCUGAAAUUAUGAUUUUUCACCAAAAAUUUUAAUUCUUUAUUUCACUCAAGGCACUGGGUUUACUCCACACAAGCCCUAACUUUUACAUGACACUUCUGUUUAUUUUCUGUUUUCCAGAAUUUCUACAGCACAUGUAGAUUAUACAUCUCAACAUAAUACUCAGUUGUCACAUACUGGCCAAACUUACUUAGCACUAACUCCUUACCUUAGGCAAAUUACCCAACCUCUCCAGGCUUCCAUCUCCUUAUCUUGAGAUUGGAGAUCAUGGCCACUUUAUAUGGUUGUUAGGAGGGUUAAGUGAGAUCUUUAGCAUUUAAGUUUCCUGCUUAUGGGAAGGAAAAAGGAAAAAGCUGACUCCCCUGUUUUUCACUAGAAAGUUCACUAAAGGCAUAAAGAGUGCAUUUUCAUUCUUUAGUUAUAUUCCUCUCAGUAUGUCUCUCAUUGGUAGACUCGUCAUGGAGAUCUUUAAAUUCUGCUCUUUCAAGUUCCUUGCAUGUUUUUUCAUUAGAAAAAUAGUCAGUACCUUGUGUCAAAGAUUCAGGACACUCUUCCAUACCAAACAUAGCAGCAAGCAUCAUUUUAGGUUUUACUGAGAAUCUCAGACUGUUCUUAAUGGAUCUUACUUAGGAGAAGACUUAAAAAACAUUUGUUAAAAGCUACUGUAUUGACAUUAGGAAUGAAUCAAAUAUUCUCACUCUCACCACUUGUUAUUCAUUGUACUGGAGGUCCUACCUAGUCAGUUCAAUAAAAGAAAUCUAAGAAAAAAAUAAAAGAUUUGGAAAGGAAUAAAAAUGCCAUUAUUUGCAAGUAAACUGUCAGAACUGUCAAUAUAAAAACAAUUAUAUAUGCAUAUACCUGUAAUAGACAGAAAAUGAAAUUUUAGAAGGAUACCAUUUACAAUAUAGAAAAUCAUCAAAUGUCUAAGAAAAUGAGAUGGAAGGUCUCUAUACUUCACAGCUGUCACUGUGGACACCAGGGCCAUACACGGAGGAAAGGUCACAUGAGGACACGGCAAGAAGGCAGGCAUCUGCAAGCCAAGGCGAGAGGCCUCGAGGGAAGCCAACCCUGCUAACACCUUGUUUUCAGACCUUUAGCCUCCAGAACUGUGAGACAAUGAAUUUCUGUCCUUUAAAAAAAUAAAACUCUAUCACUGAAAAGAAUUGGGACCUAAAUCCAGAUUAUGCCAUGUUGCUGAAUUAGAUUUGAUAUUAUAAAAAUGUUAGUUGAUUGAAAGAUUCUGUGUCAUACAAGCAGAUACUUUAUGAAAAUUAACAAGUUGAUUAUAAAUUACAUAAAAGGCAAAGGGCUAGGAAUACCCAAGGCAAUCUUGAAAAAGAAAUUUGGGGAUCUUUACCAGAUUUCAAGAGUUAUGAUAAAGUUGCUGUAACGACUAAGAAGAGUGACAUUGGCAUGAAAAUAAAAAAUGAAAUACAACUGAGAGUCUAGAAACAGACCCACAUUUAGUCACCUUAUGUAUAAUAGAUACACUGCAGUGGAGUAAAAGAAAG